CCUACAUGAAGUCGGAAUUGCUAGUAAUCGCGGAUCAGCAUGCCGCGGUGAAUACGUUCCCGGGCCCUUGUACACACCGCCCGUCACACCAUGGAAGUUGGUAACACCCGAAGCCUGUAGCCUAACCGCAAGGAGGGCGCAGUCGAAGGUGGGAUUGAUGACUGGGGUGAAGUCGUAACAAGGUAUC
rnacentral:rRNA from 1 species